AUUGAACGCUGGCGGCAUGCUUUACACAUGCAAGUCGAACGGUGACAGGCCUUCGGGUGCUGACGAGUGGCGCACGGGUGAGUAAUGCAUCGGAACGUACCCAGAGGUGGGGGAUAACGCAGCGAAAGCUGUGCUAAUACCGCAUGUGAUCUGAGGAUGAAAGCGGGGGACCGAGCAGCAAUGUUUGGCCUCGCGCCUUUGGAGCGGCCGAUGUCGGAUUAGCUAGUUGGUGGGGUAAAGGCCUACCAAGGCGACGAUCCGUAGCUGGUCUGAGAGGACGACCAGCCACACUGGGACUGAGACACGGCCCAGACUCCUACGGGAGGCAGCAGUGGGGAAUUUUGGACAAUGGGCGCAAGCCUGAUCCAGCAAUGCCGCGUGCGGGAAGAAGGCCUUCGGGUUGUAAACCGCUUUUGGCAGGAACGAAACGGUGUCCGCUAAUACCGGGCGCUAAUGACGGUACCUGCAGAAUAAGCACCGGCUAACUACGUG
rnacentral:rRNA from 1 species